rnacentral:rRNA from 1 species
GACGAACGCUGGCGGCGUGCUUAACACAUGCAAGUCGAACGGUGAAGCUCCAGCUUGCUGGAGUGGAUCAGUGGCGAACGGGUGAGUAACACGUGAGCAACCUGCCCCUGACUCUGGAAUAAGCGCUGGAAACGGCGUCUAAUACUGGAUACGAGAAGGGUCCGCAUGGGCACUUUCUGGAAAGUUUUUCGGUUGGGGAUGGGCUCGCGGCCAAUCAGCUUGUUGGUGAGGUAAUGCUCACCAAGGCGACGACGGGUAGCCGGCCUGAGAGGGCGACCGGCCACACUGGGACUGAGACACGGCCCAGACUCCUACGGGAGGCAGCAGUGGGGAAUAUUGCACAAUGGGCGAAAGCCUGAUGCAGCGACGCCGCGUGAGGGAUGACGGCCUUCGGGUUGUAAACCUCUUUCAGCAGGGAAGAAGCGAAAGUGACGGUACCUGCAGAAGAAGCACCGGCUAACUACGUG